UACGGGGGGAGGCAAGCGUUGUUCGGAUUUACUGGGCGUAAAGGGCGCGUAGGCGGCACCGCAAGUCAGUUGUGAAAUCUCUGGGCUUAACCCAGAAAGGUCAACUGAUACUGCGGGGCUAGAGUGCAGAAGGGGCAACUGGAAUUCUCGGUGUAGCGGUGAAAUGCGUAGAUAUCGAGAGGAACACCUGCGGCGAAGGCGGGUUGCUGGGCUGACACUGACGCUGAUGCGCGAAAGCUAGGGGAGCGAACGGG
rnacentral:rRNA from 1 species